rnacentral:lncRNA from 1 species
GUAGAUUUGUAAGGUUUUUAAAUCUGAAUUGGAGCCUAGAAUAUUAGCUAAAUUAUACAUGUUGGACUUCGAAUUGAUUUAGGAGAAAACUAUCGAUUAUACAUUGUCAUAUUCUGAAACUACCAAAUUUAGCUCGAGAAGCCGUAGUUUAUUUGUAUCGUCAUAGUUUGUGAGCAGUGAAUAUCCAGAAUAGUGUAGAAUAAUGUUACACUCGUGCUGGGAUGCCGAGAUUAUUUUUACAGUAGUGUUCAGACUGUUCCGGACUGUCGGGUGCUGUUGUCGUUAACGGUGGACCCGGUUUGCUGUUUUAGCUUUGGAUUGUGCCGAGGGCAUAUGAUUUAU